rnacentral:rRNA from 1 species
UACGAAGGGAGCUAGCGUUGUUCGGAAUCACUGGGCGUAAAGCGCGCGUAGGCGGUUUGACAAGUCAAGGGUGAAAUGCCAGAGCUUAACUCUGGAACUGCCUUUGAAACUGUCAGACUGGAGUCUCGGAGAGGAUAGCGGAAUUUCUAAUGUAGCGGUGAAAUGCGUAGAUAUUAGAAGGAACACCGGUGGCGAAGGCGGCUAUCUGGACGAGUACUGACGCUGAGGCGCGAAAGCGUGGGGAUCAAACAGG